UUGAACGCUGGCGGCAUGCUUUACACAUGCAAGUCGAACGGCAGCGCGGGCUUCGGCCUGGCGGCGAGUGGCGAACGGGUGAGUAAUACAUCGGAACGUGCCCAGUAGUGGGGGAUAGCUCGGCGAAAGCCGGAUUAAUACCGCAUACGACCUGAGGGUGAAAGCGGGGGAUCUUCGGACCUCGCGCUAUUGGAGCGGUCGAUGGCAGAUUAGCUAGUUGGUGGGGUAAAGGCCUACCAAGGCGACGAUCUGUAGCUGGUCUGAGAGGACGACCAGCCACACUGGGACUGAGACACGGCCCAGACUCCUACGGGAGGCAGCAGUGGGGAAUUUUGGACAAUGGGCGAAAGCCUGAUCCAGCAAUGCCGCGUGUGUGAUGAAGGCCUUCGGGUUGUAAAGCACUUUUGGCGGGAACGAAAAGGACUGUGCCAAUACCACGGUUCGAUGACGGUACCCGCAGAAUAAGCACCGGCUAACUACGUG
rnacentral:rRNA from 1 species